rnacentral:lncRNA from 1 species
AUGCACACACACACAUGCACACACAAUACCUGAAACAUAGGUCCUGCCAUGUGUUUAUCAGUAGGAAAUUAUAACUAUCAAUAAGAAUAUUAUCUCUGUAUAUCUAUCUAUCUAUCUAUCUAUCUAUCUAUCUAUCUAUCUACAUAUCUAUCUAUCUGAAGAUAUAUUGCAGCUAUAAUAGUGAGCACUUCUAUUUUGUUUCUACCAUAGACAAAAUUAAGGAAUGUUAGAUGUAUUAUAAAUCUCUGUAUUGUUUCAAUUUUUAUGUGGAAUGUGAAAUCUGUGCCUUAAACCUUCUGAACUUUUGCAUGCAAAAAUAAAAUUAGAUGUGUGUGUGUGUGUUUUUCCCCUCUGAAAAUCAACAGGAAAAGUCUUGGUUUCCACCUCCACUGUGUUAUGAAGUCAGAACUGACUGUUUAUAUAAUACCAAUGAGGCUAAAUAUGACAUUUGAAGUCAGCCUCCAUGUGUUUCCAGACAGCACAUGCCCUGAAUCAUGCAGACUAAAUAAUAAGCUUCACUGCUAUCAUUUCUACCCAGAAAAGUUAAAAUAUUAGCAAAGCGGCGGCUCCAUUCAUUGACUUGGGGAACCUCAGUAUUUGUGAAGAUGUUUUACAAUAAUAAAAAACUUUAAAGUUAGACUAGCACUGAAAGAAAAUAAAUAACAUCAAAUACUCGUGGAUAAAAGCCUUGGGAGACUCUCCACCUAACACACGCACACACGCUUACACAGACAUAUAUACACUCACAUGGGAAUGGGGCCAGAGUACAUGUGUGUAGGAGGCCUAACUUGGUUGAAUACAGCCAGGCUCACCAAAAAAAAAAAAAAAAAAAAAAAAAAAAAGACGAUGAAGGGGAAAAAAAAAAAAAGAACAGGGAUAAUGAGGCCAUUUUUCAUUAUUUUCCCAAGGGAUUUUAAAAUAGUUACCUCAUAAAAUAAAUAGUUUAAAUUUCCACAUUACUUUUUUGCCUUUAAUCUGUGCCUCUGUUGCACGUAAAUGAAUGGAGAUUUUGUGCUCUCUGUGCUAAAACAGCAUGUUAGAGCAUACUGAGGUUGAUGGAGGGGAGAGCCAGUACGAAAAGGAGUCUGUCUAUAGGCCCAGUUAUUUUUAUGUUCUUUGCUCAAUUAGAUGUUUCUCUGGACACUUCUGCAUCCCCAGACAUGGGCUUCUCAAACAUAAAUGUAGCUUAAACAGGAAUCUUUCAAAUCAACCCAGGGGCUGACCGAGCAGAGAAAUACACAUUUUGUAUACAAGGCUCCGCAGCAAAGUCUCAAGCUGCUUUUGAGUUGAGCAUCAACAAGGUCAGUUAAGGUGUUAAAAAGGAACCCGAAGCUUUUGUAAAACUAAAAACUCAUGUGCUAAUGUAAGAGAUCAUUUAUGGUCCUCAUUUAAGGGCCAACUGAAUUAACUCAGCUCUCUGGCUAAUAAACAGAAAGAGUCCACCUUGCUGAAGGUCUAAUUACAGCUCUGAAUGUUCAGUGAGUUUACAGCUUUAAACAUCUGAGUGAGUCUGCCUCUUGAAAGCCAUGUGAAGUUGGAGAGCCAGCCUAAUUAAAACAAAUCUUGGAUAAACCACUUCACGGAGAUAGAAGUUUGAUGGUUCGGUAUAUCAAAAAUUGUUAGCAGAUGUUGUUCAGAGGCCUUAACAGUUCAAAGAUCAGGAGGGUUUUCUUUCUCGUCCCCCCCCCCCUUUUUUUAACAAAGCAAAAAUAUUCUAAUUGAAGUUGUCAGCAGGAGUGAGAGUAAUAUGCCUGUAUUUGAUUAAAUAAUAGUUUAUUUAACAUUCAGUGUGGAUCAGAAUUGGCCAAGAAAAGUCGGAAAACAUUUUAGCCAGGAGACUGAGAAUGAAAACACACACACACACACACACACACACACACACACACACAAAAAAAAAAAACACACACACAAACAAACAAAAACAAACACAAAAGUCCCAAACCUACAGUGGCAUCUCACUAACUCACUCACUGUGGUUUGAUCAUGUCAGCUCUUAUCUCACAGUCCAUUCCUACGUUUGUUUUACUGUAUGGACAGGAGGACUUAGCACUUUUCCUCUUUAAUUUAUAUUAUAUUUACCUAAAAAGGAAGGGGAGCAAUACAAACGCGCUAGAAGACUUAUUGCUGGAAGCUUGGAGAGGAAAGCCCCAUGUCUUUUUCUGUUAUAAAAAUGUAAACAUCUAUAUUUUUAGGAGCUGUGUGUUUUCUGCAAGCUGCUGUUCCGACUCUCAUCGGGAUGUGAAGGUUUAGCUUUAUAAAACAGAAGAAUGUAAGGCAAGCAUGGCCCUGUUACAACUUACAGGCACCUUUUCCUGAUUACACGAUAGCAGCCCGUAACUACUUCCUUCCCGUGGCUGCACAGCUGUGUGCUGCUCACAGACACAGGGCAGCCAUUCCUUUUGAAAAACAAGGACACUCACUCAGUCCACAUAACCUUCCUACUGACCCCCAGCCCUUUGUGCCAAUCCAUCUUCUCCCUCAACAUACACACACACAGCUAACCCUGAACCAAUGGACUGGCUCUGCCUUGACUGUUCCAAACUUUUAUCUGACUUCGUAGACAUGAAAGUUUUACACAAUAUCCCAAUUAGAAUCAAUCUUUCUUUCUUUCUUUCUUUCUCUCUCUCUCUCUCUCUCUCUCUCUUUCUUCCUUCCUUCCUUCCUUCCUCUCUCUCUCUCUCUCUCUCUCUCUCUCUCUCUCUCUCUCUCUCUUUCUUUCUUUCUUUCUUUCUUUCUUUCGUGUGUUUAAGCAUUUAAAACAAAAAUCAAUAGUGGCCAAUGCCCGAGCGAUCAUUUGCUCUCCAUAAAUACACAGAGGUCUGGAUUUUUAAAGUAAAUUGCAGCAUGCUCUAUGGCAAUUAUGCAAGGACAACUAGAGAGUCAUUCAUCAUUGAAACAUUCAAAUAAAACUAAAUGUUUCUUUUUAGAUCUAAAGUGCAGCCC